rnacentral:rRNA from 1 species
GGAUUAGAUACCCUGGUAGUCCACGCCCUAAACGAUGUCUACUAGUUGUCGGGUCUUAAUUGACUUGGUAACGCAGCUAACGCGUGAAGUAGACCGCCUGGGGAGUACGGUCGCAAGAUUAAAACUCAAAGGAAUUGACGGGGACCCGCACAAGCGGUGGAUGAUGUGGAUUAAUUCGAUGCAACGCGAAAAACCUUACCUACCCUUGACAUGGAUGGAAUCCUUGAGAGAUUGAGGAGUGCCCGAAAGGGAACCAUUACACAGGUGCUGCAUGGCUGUCGUCAGCUCGUGUCGUGAGAUGUUGGGUUAAGUCCCGCAACGAGCGCAACCCUUGUCAUUAGUUGCUACGAAAGAGCACUCUAAUGAGACUGCCGGUGACAAACCGGAGGAAGGUGGGGAUGACGUCAAGUCCUCAUGGCCCUUAUGGGUAGGGCUUCACACGUCAUACAAUGGUACAUACAGAGCGCCGCCAACCCGCGAGGGGGAGCUAAUCGCAGAAAGUGUAUCGUAGUCCGGAUUGUAGUCUGCAACUCGACUGCAUGAAGUUGGAAUCGCUAGUAAUCGCGGAUCAGCAUGUCGCGGUGAAUACGUUCCCGGGUCUUGUACACACCGCCCGUCACACCAUGGGAGCGGGUUUUACCAGAAGUAGGUAGCUUAACCGCAAGGAGGGCGCUUACCACGGUAGGAUUCGUGACUGGGGUGAAGUCGUUAACAAGGUAACC